UACGGAGGGUGCGAGCGUUGUCCGGAAUCACUGGGCGUAAAGGGCGCGUAGGCGGCGCGGCAAGUCUGUGGUGAAAGCCCGAGGCUCAACUUCGGGUCGGCCAUGGAUACUGCUGCGCUCGAGCACUGUAGAGGCAGGUGGAAUUCCGGGUGUAGCGGUGGAAUGCGUAGAGAUCGGGAAGAACAUCGGUGGCGAAGGCGGCCUGCUGGGCUCUUGCUGACACUGAUGCGCGACAGCGUGGGGAGCAAACAGG
rnacentral:rRNA from 1 species